ensembl:misc_RNA Y_RNA Y RNA
AGCUGGUCGGAGUGCAGUGGUGUCUUACAACUAAUUGAUCACAGCCAGUUACAGAUUUCUUUGUUCCUUCUCCACUCCCACUGCUUCACUUGACUAGCCUUAA